rnacentral:rRNA from 1 species
AACGCACCUUGCGCUCCUUGGUAUUCCGAGGAGCAUGCCUGUUUGAGUGUCACGUAUAGCAAUCAAACCCCGUUCUUGGAACGGUGGCUUUGGAAUUGGGUGCCUGCGGGACUUUGCUUGCGAAGGUCUGCUCGCCCGAAAUACAUCAGCCGGCAGGGCUGCCAUUUUUCCUGUGGUUCACUCGACGUGAUAAGUUUUUAUUCGUCGAGCCAUGCUUUCGGGCAGCCACUGGGGAACGCUCUCGAGUGAGGGUGGCCCUGUUGCUUCUAACCCUGCGCUCUUUUGGAGUUGCAAUUUAACUUAAGAAUGACCUCAAAUCAGGUAGGAUUACCCGCUGAACUUAA